rnacentral:rRNA from 1 species
GGUAAUACGUAGGGUGCAAGCGUUAAUCGGAAUUACUGGGCGUAAAGCGUGCGCAGGCGGUCUUGUAAGACAGAUGUGAAAUCCCCGGGCUCAACCUGGGAACUGCAUUUGUGACUGCAAGGCUGGAGUGCGGCAGAGGGGGAUGGAAUUCCGCGUGUAGCAGUGAAAUGCGUAGAUAUGCGGAGGAACACCGAUGGCGAAGGCAAUCCCCUGGGCCUGCACUGACGCUCAUGCACGAAAGCGUGGGGAGCAAACAGGAUUAGAUACCCUGGUAGUCCACGCCCUAAACGAUGUCAACUGGUUGUUGGGUCUUCACUGACUCAGUAACGAAGCUAACGCGUGAAGUUGACCGCCUGGGGAGUACGGCCGCAAGGUUGAAACUCAAAGAAUUUUGACGG